rnacentral:rRNA from 3 species
GGGACACGUGGUAUCCUGUCUGAAUAUGGGGGGACCAUCCUCCAAGGCUAAAUACUCCUGACUGACCGAUAGUGAACCAGUACCGUGAGGGAAAGGCGAAAAGAACCCCGGCGAGGGGAGUGAAAAAGAACCUGAAACCGUGUACGUACAAGCAGUGGGAGCCUCUUAAUGGGGUGACUGCGUACCUUUUGUAUAAUGGGUCAGCGACUUAUAUUCUGUAGCAAGGUUAACCGAAUAGGGGAGCCGAAGGGAAACCGAGUCUUAACUGGGCGUUAAGUUGCAGGGUAUAGACCCGAAACCCGGUGAUCUAGCCAUGGGCAGGUUGAAGGUUGGGUAACACUAACUGGAGGACCGAACCGACUAAUGUUGAAAAAUUAGCGGAUGACUUGUGGCUGGGGGUGAAAGGCCAAUCAAACCGGGAGAUAGCUGGUUCUCCCCGAAAGCUAUUUAGGUAGCGCCUCGUGAAUUCAUCUCCGGGGGUAGAGCACUGUUUCGGCAAGGGGGUCAUCCCGACUUACCAACCCGAUGCAAACUGCGAAUACCGGAGAAUGUUAUCACGGGAGACACACGGCGGGUGCUAACGUCCGUCGUGAAGAGGGAAACAACCCAGACCGCCAGCUAAGGUCCCAAAGUCAUGGUUAAGUGGGAAACGAUGUGGGAAGGCCCAGACAGCCAGGAUGUUGGCUUAGAAGCAGCCAUCAUUUAAAGAAAGCGUAAUAGCUCACUGGUCGAGUCGGCCUGCGCGGAAGAUGUAACGGGGCUAAACCAUGCACCGAAGCUGCGGCAGCGACACUAUGUGUUGUUGGGUAGGGGAGCG